AAGAAGGAUAAGGAUUGGGAUUGGUCAUCCCAAUGCCAAGCUGCUUUUGAAAGGUUGAAGAAGUCCAUGUGGACGAACCCGGUUUUAGCCUUACCGGAUAUGGCUAAACCAUUCGAAGUUCAUACAGAUGCUUCAGAUUUUGCCCUUGGUGGAGUCCUCAUGCAAGAAGGACAUCCGGUAGCAUAUGAGAGCCGAAAGUUAAACCAGACAGAACGUCGUUACUCGGCACAUGAAAAGGAAUUGUUAGCAGUUGUCCAUUGUCUCAGAGGAUGGCGUCACUAUCUGCUUGGGUCUCCAUUUAUUGUGAAGACAGAUAACACUGCAGUUAGUCACUUUAUGUCCCAACCAAAACUGUCGAGCAAACAGGCUCGUUGGCAGGAAUUCCUUUCGGAGUUCAAUUUUAUGUUAGAGUAUCGUCCCGGCUCUAGUAAUCAUGUUGCCGAUGCUCUUAGUCGACGGGCUGAUUUAGCUACCAUCUGCUCUGUAGCUGCUCUUGCAGGGAGCGCAGUCUCCACGAACACUAGAGACCAAAUUCGGGCACUUAUGGAGAAGGACCCGGCUACCCAAUAUUUGGUCGACCUUAUCAAGCAGGGUAAAACUCGACAGUUCUGGCUAGAUGGAGAACUAGUGAAGACAAAGGGAGACCGUCUAUAUGUUCCUAAGGGUGGAGAUCUGAGGAAAUCACUAAUCACAGAAUGCCAUGACACAAUUUGGGCGGGGCAUCCCGGAGAGGAACGCACUUGUGCACUACUACAACGUGCAUACUACUGGCCUCAAAUGCGGGAUGACAUUGCAACAUAUGUAAAAACUUGUCUUAUUUGUCAGCAAGAUAAGGCAGAUCAUCAGAAAAAG
rnacentral:lncRNA from 1 species